GUUUGGAGAGAGAAAGAGUCAUGUCGCGGAUCUCCAGAAAGUGUCUCCCUGAUGGACUGGGAAGCGAUCUUCGUAGAAUUUAUUCAGCCAGAUCAAGAGGCAACUAGGCCCCUCAGAAACAGGGGAGACAGAGCAAGAGGGAGGACAGAGCACAGGCCAGAGCCCAGGCAGGUUACAGAACCUUGCCACCGCCACAGGCAUAAGGGGAGGGGUGCGAAACGCAUGACUUGUCCAGAGAGGCCAGCAUUCCAGGGACAGGGAUUGUUGCCGUCUCCCAUUCCCGGCUUCCUCUUCAGAAUUGUAUCGUGGUGUGGCUUCAUUGCUCAGAGAAGAGCCGUGCAGGGGUACAACCAUCUUCUUGGAGGUGUGUCUGCUCCUCUCCUGCCGGACAAUGAGCUGCUGAGCCCACUCCCUCCAGUCCUUGUGUAAGGAUCCUACACCCAUUUGUGAAGACUCUCCCUUCAUGACUGAAUCACUACCUAAAAGCCCUACUUCCUAAUCCUAUGACAUUUGUGAUUAAUUUUAGGGGGACACAUUCAGAGCAUAGCACCCUAUAUUCAAUUUCUUAAAAAUUAUUUU
rnacentral:lncRNA from 1 species